rnacentral:lncRNA from 1 species
GAAUGUGAUGCUUUAUAUUUGAUAUUUGCAUCUGUGAUUUAAGUUUAUUAUCUUCCAAGUUGUGCUCAAUCAAUAUUAUAAAUAGGUUGAUUCAUAGGUGAUACCUAUAUUGGAAGACGUCUCAUGAGAACUGGGAACUCCGAAGAGAUUUCUUACAUAGCUGGUCUGUGAAGUUUGGCUAUAGAUCUCUCUUGUUUUACUACUUUCGGACAAUAGGUUUCAAUACUCUAGCUGUUAACAGAGUUCUGUAUCAUUUCAAUGCAUUAUGAAACAGUAAGCUCUGCAAUAUAUUGAAUCCAUGGCACAUGCCGGUAAGUUUUGAAACAUGGCAGUGCCGGUGCUAUAAUCAGAGCAUGUGAAAUGGAUACAUGUGAAAUGGUACAUGUAGCGGUGCCAUAAUGAGUAUUAUGUAGCAAUGUUGUUAAAUGUAAUGCUUCAAGUUUAUAUAUAAUGUUAGCAUGACUAGGGAAAAGCAAGCUCUGAAACAUGGUGAAACAGGGGAUACAAUGCAGCCACAGUAAAACAAGAACCCUUUGUGUUAAGCCCCGGUGCAGCCACAUUAACUUAUUUUACAUGCUGAAGCAAUGUAGCCACAAUGUAACAUGACCCUUAAUAUAGUGUAACAUGUGAAACCCUUGCAACAUGCUGAAACAUACUGAAAUAGUGACUGGGGAUGCAGUGAAGCCUUUGAUCUAGUUUGAUAGCAUAGUUUCAGAAUUAUGGAACUUGGAAUCUGAGCACAGUUUCAAAGCUCUGAAAUGUAGAAUCUAAGCACAAUUUCAGAGCUCUCAAAUAUGGAAGAGAUGCACAGUUUCAGAGCUAUGAAACAUUGAAACUGUGGGUCCAUUUUUUUGAGCUCUGAAACAUAGAAACUGAGCAUAGUUUCAAGCUUUGAAACAUGGAAUGUAAGCGCAGUUUCAGAAUCUGAAACAUAGAAUCUGAGCUUCAAAAUAGUUAGCUUUGAAAGAUUUCCAGUGCUCUGAAACAGUUCUAGUUAGCUUGAAACAUUGAACAUUGAUCCGAAGCAUUGAACUGAAAAUUGAACUGAUACAUGGUUACAAUGAAACAUGAGCUAGCAUUAAACUUAUAAAACACUGAACAUUAAAGCAUUAAAACAUUGACUGCACAUUGUGAACCCUCCGCUUUGCUGGUUAUGACCUAACAUGUGUCAACAAGCAAUCUGAAAUAUGUGCCAGUGAACUGCACGUUGAACCUCAAACAUGUGCUACUGAUGCUGAAACUGCAUAUUGAACUGCUGCUUAUGACAUCUAUGAAAUAUAUGCCAUUUAAGUAAACAAUCAACUGCACAUUGAACUAAACGUUGAACUUAUCAAACAUUGAACUAGCAUUGGAUGAACAUUGUAAUUGCAUUGUCUGAACAUUGAACUAACAUUGAAUAAGUGAUAUUGUCUGACCAUUGAACAUUGAACAUUGAACUAAACAUUGAAAUUACAUCCACAGCAACUAAACAUUAAAUAGUUAACACAAUGUUCCAGUUAACACAAAACACUCUUCCAACUAACAGCAAUUGUUGUAAACCUAAGAUCCACAUCAAAUAACAUCCAAAGUAGAUAUAGACCGUUCCAGCUAAAAACAAUUUUUCUAAACGUCACCAACACUGCUGCCCUGAGUUUUUGACUGAGAAGACAGUGGCCGACUAGAUCCACCAAUGUGCUUUCUCCUUCUUGCAUCAAUAUAAGCUCUUAGGGAACCCAUAGUAACCUAGGUUGCACCUUCUCCACUCAAA